GGCCAUUUCAGUUUUCACUGUGAUAAUUUUGAUAGAUAAAUUUGAUGGGUGCAAGUCUCAUUUUGCGGCAUUGUAGCAGUUUGACUGUUGAAUUUACCCCUCAAGGACUUACCAUUUGUGACAGACCCAUCUGUCUGGAUUACAAAUGCUUUGUUCGCCUGUUCUGCCGGUUACAUGAAUUUCCCCAUUCGUAUGCUUUAUUCAAGGGAAUGUCGGUUUUUG